UACAGAGGACUCGAGCGUUGUUCGGAUUCAUUGGGCGUAAAGGGUGCGUAGGUGGUCUGGUAAGUCGGAUGUGAAAUCCCGGAGCUUAACUUCGGAACUGCAUUCGAUACUGCCGGACUGGAGUACUGGAGAGGAGAUCGGAAUUUACGGUGUAGCAGUGAAAUGCGUAGAUAUCGUAAGGAAGACCAGUGGCGAAGGCGGAUCUCUGGACAGUUACUGACACUGAGGCACGAAGGCCAGGGGAGCAAACGGG
rnacentral:rRNA from 1 species